rnacentral:rRNA from 1 species
GACGAACGCUGGCGGCGUGCUUAACACAUGCAAGUCGAGCGGAAAGGCCACUUCGGUGGUACUCGAGCGGCGAACGGGUGAGUAACACGUGAGUAAUCUGCCCCUCACUUUGGGAUAGCCACCGGAAACGGUGAUUAAUACCGGAUAUGACCAUAUGUCGCAUGGCGUGUGGUGGAAAGUUUUUCGGUGAGGGAUGUGCUCGCGGCCUAUCAGCUUGAUGGUGAGGUAAUGGCUCACCAUGGCUUCGACGGGUAGCCGGCCUGAGAGGGUGACCGGUCACACUGGGACUGAGAAACGGCCCAGACUCCUACGGGAGGCAGCAGUGGGGAAUAGUGGAAAAUGGGCGGAAGCCUGAUCCAGCAACGCCGCGUGAGGGAUGACGGCCUUCGGGUUGUAAACCUCUUUCAGUACCGACGAAGCGCAAGUGACGGUAGGUACAGAAGAAGCGCCGGCCAACUACGUG